rnacentral:rRNA from 1 species
UUUUAAUUUUGAAUUUAAGUAAUUUACAAUACUUAAGUGUUAUGAAUUAAAAAGUGGUGUACAGGUGAGUAUAAAGAUAUAAUUCGCCGACCUUAAAGAGAAGGUAAAUCCUUCAUAAUCAAUAAAGGGAUACAGUUCCUGCUUUAAGAGGAAGAUAAAUAUCUUCGGGAUAGGUAGUAGUUAAGGUGAUGACUUAACUAGCCGACAACUCUCGUAGUCGAAGCUGAAAGGUUGAUCGACCACAUUGGGUCUGAAAAAACCCCAAUGCAAAUUAGUACAGCAGUGAGGAAUUUUGGUCAAUGGCCUAACGGCUGAACUGGCAACUUGGAAAAGCGGCAAGUCCGAUACUAAGUGCGAUUUAUUAUGCGGCGGUCGCCUCGGAUUUUAUUGUAAAAGAAUGAAGCUUUGUUUAUAUAUUGAUAAUGACAAUAUAUAUAUAGCGUCUUGACUAAUUACGUGCCAGCAGUCGCGGUAAUACGUAAGAGACUAGCAUUAUUCAUCUUAAUUGGGUUUAAAGGGUACCUAGACGGUCAAUAUAGCUUAUAGAAUGUUAAUACUUGACUAGAGUUUUAUAUGAGAGGGGAGUACUUGCGGAGGAGAGAUGAAAUUCUAUCAUACCAAAGGGACUCGGUAAAGGCGAAGGCACCCCUUUAUGUAAAAACUGACGUUGAGGGACGAAGGCACAGAGAACAAACAGGAUUAGAUACCCUAGUAGUCUUUGCAGUAAAUGAUGAAUGCCAUAGAUUAGAUAAACAAUUUAAUAACUUAGUUCGUCGGUAAACAAUUAAUAUUAAAUAUGGUUUGGUCUAUAAAUGAAAGUGUAAGCAUUCCACCUCAAGAGUAAUGUGGCAACGCAGGAACUGAAAUCACUAGACCGUUUCUGACAAAAGUAGUGAAGUAUGUUGUUUAAUUCGAUGGUCCACGAAAAACCUUACCACAAUUUGUAUAAUACCCGAUACAGGAGUUGCACGGCUGUUUUCAGUUAAUGUUGUGAAACUAUGGUUUCCAUGAAAUUAACGAAAUCCUUGGCUUUUUUUUUACCCUUGUGUGUUGCCCGUACAAACGUGUACGACACAAGCUACAAUAAAGCAUUAGAUCCCCAAUAUGGGGAUAGAAAAAAGGGACAAAGACAAGUCAUCAUGGCCUUAAUAUUGUGGGCUAUAGACGUGCCACAUCUUCCUAGACAAAGAGAUGCAAAAAUGUGAAUUUAAGCUAAUCUCAAAAAAUAGGAUAAAAAUUUAAAGGAUUGUAGUCUGAAAUUCGACUACAUGAAUAAGUAAUUACUAGUAAUCGUGAAUCACCAUGUCACGGUGAAUAAAUCUCGGAUUGGUACUAACCACUCGUCACAUGCUGAAAAGAGCUUAUGCAAUAAGUUUGCUUUCUUAGUAAUUAGUAAAAAAAACAUGUAGGUUUUGUAUAUGCAGCUUGUAACAAGCAAGCUGCAUAAACAGUACAAAAGCUGUCUAUUACUGGGAAUCUUCGUAUGCGUAGCUCUAAUUAGUGUU